GGGGGGGGGGGGGGGGGGGGGGAGGGGAGGCGGGGCGGGGGGGGGGGCCGGGGUGGGGGGACUCGGGUGGCGGACGGGGGAGUAACACGGGGGUAACCGGCGCGUGACUUCGGGAUAACGUCAGGAAACGGGGGCGAAUACCGGGGAGGAAUCCGUGCUGCAUGGUGGGGGUUGGAAAGCUGCGGGGGUUUUGGAUGGACGCGCGGCUUAUCAGCUGGUUGGUGGGGUAGUGGCUUACCAAGGCUUUGACGGGUAGCCGGCCUGAGAGGGCGACCGGCCACAUUGGGACUGAGAUACGGCCCAGACUCCUACGGGAGGCAGCAGUGGGGAAUAUUGCACAAUGGGCGGAAGCCUGAUGCAGCAACGCCGCGUGCGGGAUGACGGCCUUCGGGUUGUAAACCGCUUUCAGCAGGGGCGAAGCUUGUGGUGACGGUACCUGCAGAAGAAGCACCGGCUAACUACGUG
rnacentral:rRNA from 1 species